ensembl:snRNA U2 U2 spliceosomal RNA
AUCACUUCUCAGCCUUUUGGCUAAGAUCAAGUGUAGUAUCUGUUCUUAUCAGUUUAAAAACUAAACAUAGAUAUUUGUAAUAUAUGUAUGUAUCAAUGUAU